rnacentral:rRNA from 1 species
UAUGCAGUUAAUAGUGACAAGAUGAUAUAUGUGGCACUCAACUUGGUUGGUGCUAAAAAUAGUUCCGUUCUCUUGGAUCAUAUUGUAGAAAGGGACAGUUUUCGAGUAAAACCAGAGGAUGAGGUCAAAGAAGCACAGAAGAUGAAAGAGGCAAGCCAAAUGCUAGGCAUUGGUUCAGUUUUAAUAGCAACUGUGUCAUUCGGUGCAACUUUUGCUGUCCCGGGAGGUUUCAUAGCAGAUGAUCAUACAAAUCGAGGCACACCAACACUUGCUGGAAGGUAUACGUUUGAUGCAUUCAUGAUGGCAAACGCAUUAGCUUUUCUUUGCUCCUCAAUAGCUACUAUUGCUCUCAUGUUCACUGGAUCUCCUUUGAUGCUUGACAUAAUUCUCUUUGAACUCUGGCCUUUCGUACUUAUCUUCGGUUGGGCCGCAAUUGCUCGGAAGCUCCGAAACCUCUGA